rnacentral:lncRNA from 1 species
AUGUAUUACAAUGGCCAUGACCAUCAUUUGUUUGGUUGUCACAGGCCUGUCACUGGACUGGCUGAUUUGAUCCACCCACAACGACAGACCCAAAGCAACUCCGGAGCCCAUGCUGAGAUGCUUCAGUUCCCAUCCUUUCCUCUUGGCUCCUCCAGUGCCCGUGUUGUGCCCAUGGUAACAAAUACCAGAAAUCACCCUGGCCAUGCCAAGGCAUUACAGCUGCAAGGACUUCCCUCAGGCGUGCUGUGUAGGUAAGCCAGGCCACCUGCACUUACACUGAAGGGCCCUUUCAAAGUGGUGCCAAACAGUUUUCCAAUGCAGCUGCCCCACAGCCUGAUUCUGCUAGAAAUGCUCAUCUAUUAGUGAUGCCCUGCUGGAAGAGAAAAAAAGGAAAGCAGGGAGGCAGGGCACGAGCUGAUGCUGCGGGCAGAGUGGCUGGGGCUGCCUCAUUAACACCUCUGGCUUGAGCCGCUGCUGUUCUGCCUCCCUGUUGCUACGGCAGGUUUCUAUGGCAAAGGCCCACCAAGAAAGUGAGAAUUAAAGAGAGUUAAUGUUCCAAACAGAUGAGCCUCAUGUCGACAGCUGGCUUCUUCAGCGGAAAAAUGAGCUGCCAGAAAGGGAGACUGGCCAUCAAUACAUGAGACAUCCAAAAAUUAUUGCGUUACCAAGACCUACCGAUACCUAAGACUGAUACCCAAGGAGCACCUCCUUCAGCAGCCUAGAGUGGUCCCACAGCGUAACUGGUCUGUUUUCUGUGUGCUGCAGAAACCCAGAGGCACUUAUGUCCUGUCCUAGUGCUCUGAGGUACCAGUGGUACCAGCAGCAAUGCCUUUGGGCAUGCCAGCCUAGUGCUUGCUGCAGGAGGCUGCUAGCCAGGCUCUGGAUCUCCCACACCUUCACAGGACUGAACACCUCGUACCCCUUCUCAAGAAAGAGUUUUAACCUUGUUCCAGAUUAAUGUGUUCUGGGAUGGACUGAGCUCCUGAGAAGGCAGUGGCAGGUUCCUGGGACCAGAUAACGGAGAACAAAAGGACACUUGGCUCUCCAGGUGGUGAGCAGGACGUUCGCCUGGGGUUCAGUCCUGCUCUGGAGGAGCCUGUGGCCCAUAAGAGACUGUUCUCCUCUCCUCACACCUCAUUGCGAGGCCUGCCUGGUGGUCGGCUGCAUUGUGGACGGGAUUACAUGAAAUGGCUGCCUGAGGAGUGGGCUCAGAGCAGGAGGGAGCCUCCAGUGCUACAGCCUUGGAAAACAUGGUGUGCCUCACUGGCAUCAGUAUGCUGACCCCCUCAGUCUGUUGUUACGCUGUCGGACAUCGGUGCACAUGGAAAAUGGGCAGGUCUGGGUGCAGCUUUCAAAGCCAGCUUUCUCGCAGCUGGACAGCCCUUGCAGGCAGGAGCCAGGCCCGUACGAAUCGGACUGCCAACUACAGCACCCACAGCGGGUGCAGCAUGGAUUCCUGAUAAAGGCAUGUGAAAUCUCAUAAAGUCUGCUUCUGCUAAUGGUCUUCACUUUGCUCCUUUAUUUAUAUAUAUCCACU